AGCUUUGGUCCUUCAGGCCCAGGAGGCUGGACAUGUUUUCAGUCAACUGAAAGGGAGCUGCCUUCUUGUUAUGUCAGCAUGUGGAUGCUGUCAUCAUAUGGGAUAUAUUGUGGGCACGACCUACCCAGAGCAUUACUGUUACAUUACCAGACAGGAGGGACAUCUGCAUUUUGAUCAUUGACAGAGACAUCUCCCACCAUUAGACAGAGAAAAGGAAGCAGAGAUGGGGCCGAAGACCACCAGGGUCAGGCUCACGGUCACCUCCCUGCCCGUUUGUGUCCCCAGGAGAGGAGGCAGCAGGAAGUGCUUGGGAAAGUUCACUCAACAGUUAAAUCCCCUACGUGAAUGAAGCCUUGAGCCUGUUUUGCUUCAAACAAUGUUCCAUUCAAAGUAUGACUCAACUCUUGGGGCCUGAUCCAAAGCCCACUAAAGACAAUGAGAGUUUUUCCAUUGACUUUAGCAGCCUUUGGAUGAGGGCCUUGAUCGUGAUCCUGAAAGCCUGAUUUCACAUGAGAAAGCCUACACGCAAAAAGAGCAAAUCCAGAAAUCCUUGCUGAGAUUUUACCCGAUCCUUUCACAGACCUUUAGUUCCUCUUUUAAUCACAAAUUAAAGUAUGAACAGUGAUGACAAGAAAAGGAAAAGAUGCAACAUGAGCACCGUACACGGAGAGUGAAGCUUUGAGACGGAAAAGCCACUUAUCAUGAAGAGAGGACCUGUAAUAACAGAAAUGGGAAGACAGGAAGGAGAGACUGGAAAGCACAAAGGCUCCACCAAUGACUACUAGUGCUUGACUGACCCUCGCCUGCGCAAUCCAAGAUGGGUGAUUUGAUUAGAAAAAGUGUGGUAAACAGGAAAAGAAUGUGGAAGGAAAAAAUAAACAUACAGGGCUGAAAGAAGACUGAUACAGAAAUUCCACGCACUGCUUGCUGUUAAUAGUUAGUGUCUGUGUGACACAUUCACACCAUAGCAGGGUGGGUGGGGCUGGGUUUUGAUCCUUGCCUGAUUGACGUUAAUGACAUUCUUCCAAUGGCUGUGGCUUUCCUCAUACCACACCCAGGAGGGGUCAGAGGCAAAUUCCUCCUGAGUAUUAAUGUGAAAAAAAACACUUUUUAGUCAAGUUUUUAAAUGAUGCCAGGUGUUUGCUCUGGUUGCAUUAAUGAGUCUAGAAUCGUCAGAGCUCAGCCUGCACUACCCAGCAAUGAACCUACAUCUCAGCUCUUAAGACUGCAUCCGCUAUCCGUUCUUAAUCCACUUCCAGCUACUAAAAUGAUUGUACUCAUCUCUAUGAUAUUGCCUCUUAAGCAGUGGAAGACAACAACAUCUGUGAGUGUGGAUCCCUGCCCAACAUAGUAUUGUCAGUUGUGGUGUUUAUUUGUGUUGCCUAGAAGCCCCAUUAACAGAUUGGGAUUGUCUGUGACAGCCGUGAAACAAAAGCGUUGCACUUUCCAUGGAAGGGUUAUUUACCCCUGUUGCUUUUGUUCUGUCUGCCAUGAAAAGCCUUACUUUCUGCCAAUGAAAAUAAGAAGCAAAAAUCGAAAGCAGUGCAGGUCUGCUGCCUUUAAUACAGCAGGACUGUCGGAUCUGAAGCAGUCACUGAGCAAAGCUGUCAAAGCAUUCUGCAAAGCUGAAACCCUCUAAUAAACUAAACCGUGAGCUUCUGAGCCCAGUUCCUGAGACCAUGGCAAAAAAAAAAAAAAAAAAGAACAAAAAAAAAGAAUCAUGGCCUCUUACGUGAGUCUUUCUUAAGAACAACACCAUACAAAUGCACUGCUUGCUUUGAAAGUGAAAGGCAACAUUUUCCGAUGUUGUGUACCUAAACAAGAGGUCACACUGCUGUGCUGAACACUCAACAGAGCCCAGAAAAGCUAAUGGCAAGCGUUAAACAUCAGAUUUUGUGAAUAUUGGAAGCUUUUUUGUGUUAGACCCUUAAUUUUAGGAGUUCUAAUUUAUGGAUAGAUUCAUGCCGCAUUUAAAUUCUGUACUGCCAAUGGAUCUAGCAAAAUCAAUGUGCUGAAGACUUCAAGAGGCGGUUUCAUAACAGCUCGGUAGGAAGUCUGUGAAACCUGUAUGCCAUGGUACUCACGCUAGCCUCGUUGCUGUACCCCUGGCACAGCUGGUACUUGCAUGUUCUGUCCUGUUCUCUUUCCCAGCCUUGCAAUCUCUCAGCAGGAUCAGUAAGAGCCCUGUGGAAGCAAAACGCAGACUGGCCUGGAUUGUUCCAAUGUCUGCAAACGCGUGGUGCAGCUCCUUGGGGUGGAGAAGGGAUGCCUUCCUCUUACCCACCUUGCACACACCGAGGCGAUGGCUUAGCCCAUGCCUGAUCAGGAGUUAGUUGGGCUGCUGAACAGGCAGCGUGCACUGCCUCAACUGGUGCUCCUCACCCCUCACAAGGAAGUUAUGGGCACUUUUAAUCAGGGAUGUGGUAAUUACCAAGUUCCACUAACACUGAGCCCUGCACAGACCACGGACCCCCAGCACGUAGACCUCAAGUGUGAAAUCAUCACAUACUGACAGUACAGCGUUACACAUAUGCACAACUCCGAAUCUUUCAGGUAUAGAAAUUCCUUCAGGGUCUGAAAACCUGGCUAAGGGUGGGUGCAGAUCUAUUUAUAACAAGACAAAUAUUUGCUGAUGCAUGUGUAAACACACACACACACACACACACAAAAAAAGGAAGGUAAAUCCUUCAGUGAAUUAGAAUACAUUCUGAACAAGUGAGAUUAAAUAGUGAAAUACUUUCAUAAGAACAUUCUGGAUUAAAUUCUUAGAACUUCGCUUCUAGAACAGAAACCCAAAUUAGUCUUUUAACUGUCUGCCUAUCCCAAAUUUUGCAAGAACAUUUUUUUCUUUCUUUUUUCCCUUUCCCUGGUGACCCAGUCACACAUAUGUGUUUUUUCAGGAUUACAACAAUGACUCCUUCUCAAAGAUGGUGCUAUUCCACACUUCACAUCAAGGCUGCGAGUUGAGGCUCAGAAUGCUAAUCAUGCAAACAAGAGUAACAGAUCAAUCAGCUGCUGCACAUCAGCAGCUGAGGACAAACACCAGACACCAACAGGCUUCAAAAGACCAGAGUCCUAAAAUGCUUAAACAUAUUAUAUUUCCCUUAUUAUAGUCCUCUGAGGUUGCAGUCCUUUCUGAAAUGAAACAUCUUCCCCACAGAGUGUGCUCUAUAUCUAGGUCAGGCCUUUCCAGAGGGAAGUGGGGACGGGCACAAGUUUUCACUAGGCACUGGGGUUUUCACUGCCACCAGCCAACCUCAGCAGCGCCACGUGCCUGACAGUGCAUCUUCUGGGCAAAUCACUCCAAUACGCAGCUGCCCGAAUUUUCACAUGUAUUAUGUUAGUUACUGGUCAGUAAAUUACACUGAAAAGUAACACUAGAAUUUUUUGGCCAUGAAGAUAUUAAAGAGAAAAAAGUAUUUAUUACUGUUAUUCCGAUACUAGCAAGAUCCGCAGAAAGACCGGGGACCACAAAAUGACAAUCCAUGCACACAGGCAGUAAUAAGGAAAUCCAGGUGGCUUUGCUCACCAUGUAAAAGGACAUGCUAGCAGAAAAAGGCAGGAGAG